rnacentral:rRNA from 1 species
UACGUAGGGUGCAAGCGUUAAUCGGAAUUACUGGGCGUAAAGCGUGCGCAGGCGGUUAUGUAAGACAGGUGUGAAAUCCCCGGGCUUAACCUGGGAACUGCAUUUGUGACUGCAUAGCUAGAGUACGGUAGAGGGGGAUGGAAUUCCGCGUGUAGCAGUGAAAUGCGUAGAUAUCGGAAGGAACAUCAGUGGCGAAAGCGGCUUCCUGGACCAGAACUGACGAUCAGGCACGAAAGCGUGGGGAGCAAACAGG